rnacentral:ncRNA from 1 species
UUCUAAUAAUGAAUUUUCAUAUAAUCGCAGGGAUAUGGCCUGCAAGUUUCUACCGGUUUGCCGUAAAUGAACCGACUAUGAAAAGCA